GACGAACGCUGGCGGCGUGCUUAACACAUGCAAGUCGAACGAUGAAGCUGGAGCUUGCUCUAGCGGAUUAGUGGCGAACGGGUGAGUAACACGUGAGCAAUCUGCCCUUGACUCUGGGAUAACUGCGGGAAACUGUAGCUAAUACCGGAUACUUUCACCGGUGGGCAUCCUCUGGUGAUGAAAGAAUUUCGGUCAAGGAUGAGCUCGCGGCCUAUCAGCUUGUUGGUGAGGUAACGGCUCACCAAGGCGACGACGGGUAACCGGCCUGAGAGGGUGACGGGUCACACUGGGACUGGGACACGGCCCAGACGCCUACGGGGGGCAGCAGGGGGGAAUAUUGCACAAUGGGCGCAAGCCUGAUGCAGCAACGCCGCGUGAGGGAUGAAGGCCUUCGGGUUGUAAACCUCUUUUAGCAGGGAAGAAGCGAAAGUGACGGUACCUGCAGAAAAAGCACCGGCUAACUACGUGCCAGCCGCCGCAGUAA
rnacentral:rRNA from 1 species